rnacentral:rRNA from 1 species
GGCCUGAGAGGGUGAACGGACACACUGGAACUGAGACACGGUCCAGACUCCUACGGGAGGCAGCAGUAGGGAAUAUUGCUCAAUGGGGGAAACCCUGAAGCAGCAACGCCGCGUGGAGGAUGAAGGUUUUCGGAUUGUAAACUCCUUUUGUUAGAGAAGAUUAUGACGGUAUCUAACGAAUAAGCACCGGCUAACUCCGUGCCAGCAGCCGCGGUAAUACGGAGGGUGCAAGCGUUACUCGGAAUCACUGGGCGUAAAGAGCGCGUAGGCGGGAUAGCAAGUCAGAUGUGAAAUCCUAUGGCUUAACCAUAGAACUGCAUUUGAAACUGUUAUUCUAGAGUAUGGGAGAGGUAGGUGGAAUUCU